CCUACGGGUGGCAGCAGUGGGGAAUAUUGCGCAAUGGGCGAAAGCCUGACGCAGCGACGCCGCGUGAGGGAUGAAGGUCUUCGGAUCGUAAAACUCUGUCAGCAGGGAAGAACGGUUACUGUGCUAAUCAUCAGUGAAUUGACGGUACCUACAAAGGAAGCACCGGCUAACUCCGUGCCAGCAGCCGCGGUAAUACGGAGGGUGCGAGCGUUAAUCGGAAUUACUGGGCGUAAAGCGCUCGUAGGCGGUAUGUCAAGUCAAGGGUGAAAUCCCCGCGCUCAACGUGGGAACUGCCUUUGAAACUGGCAAACGUGAGUGUGUGAGAGGAUAGUGGAAUUCGAGGUGUAGGGGUGAAAUGCGUAGAUAUAUGGAAGAACACCAGUGGCGAAGGCGGCCGCCUGGCCUGUUACUGACGCUGAGGCACGAAAGCGUGGGGAUCAAAUAGGAUUAGAUACCCCAGUAGUC
rnacentral:rRNA from 1 species